CGGCCGCGUCGACAAACGAUGGGGAUGCGUUCCAUUAGGUAGUAGGCGGGGUAACGGCCCACCUAGCCUACGAUGGAUAGGGGUUCUGAGAGGAAGGUCCCCCACAUUGGAACUGAGACACGGUCCAAACUCCUACGGGAGGCAGCAGUGAGGAAUAUUGGUCAACACCAUCUGAGUCGGCAUGAAUUAUCUGCCAUUAUCAAGAUGUCUGGUAGCAUCGGUCUCUCGACUUCGGGCCUAACCUUGUCUGUCGUGACAGAAAAUGCCAAGCUGGCUCGUCA
rnacentral:rRNA from 1 species